AGCAAGCAGCAGGCAGUAGAGAAAGACUACAACUUGGCCCUGUACUUCAACAAGGGAAGCUGAAAACUUUCAAUAGAUAGUCUAAAACAAGUACACAAAGAGCUCUUUCCACAAAGGACUCUUUCCACACAACCAUUUAGACAUCUAGUCAAGUCUGUCAGUUGAUCUCACCUCCUUGAAGAAAAAGAUGGAGAAUGAAGAACAAGUUAGAUGUAACCAGCAGGUAUUCCUCAGGGAAGUGGAAGGACAAAAGAAAAACCUCUCAGACCAGGGUCUAGAAAACAUGGAACAAACAGGAGUGUGGAUGAGCCCUUAUUGAGCUACACAUCUCCCAACCCAAUCCUGAACAUACAUGAAUUGAAAAAAAUGUUGAAAUAUACAUUUAUUAAGAAACCAGAGGCCUUUCUUCUUGGAAUAACAGGUUUGGAAUUGCCC